GAAGAAGAAGAAGAAGAAAAGGAAGACAGGGAAGAGAGUACAGAGACGAGGAGCUACAGGAGGCAUGCAUCUGAAGAGAUUGAAUUCAAAGAAGACACAUAAGGAGAAGGAAAUUUGAGUAUAUAAGAGUAAUUGCAUCCCACCAAAAGAUGAUGCUUUGUUGUUAAUAAGGUGCAGAUCUGACCCUGUGAUGAUGGCUGGUCUUGCUAACUGUGGGUUGGGUGGGUCAUGCAGGAGGGGGAGGGUAACGAUUAAAUAGACUAAAAAUGGAAGGAAGGACCAAUGUGUAGAUGGAACCAUACUUAAAAGAUUUUUUAAACUAUUUUCAAAAUAGAGGAAUGAAAGUGCUAAUAAUGCCAAAACAUAGGGCAAAAUAGUAAUUUACCCUUCUUAUUGUUGUUGUUAUGACACCAAGGAAGUGCAAACCAAGCCAAAAAGAGAAAAUCAUUUGCUAUAGAGGGUGUUCUUCUCAAGUAUUUUUAAAAUUAAAAAUAAAAGAAAAAUGACAGAGAAUCAUAUGUUCAGAAAAAAUAAACUAUUAUUACCAUUCAAAAAUAUUAAAAAGUAAUUCUAAAAAGCAAAAGUCAAACCAAAUGCAAAUUAAAAUGUAAAAUAAUGAGGCAUCAAAUUCAUAUUUGCAGUUUUAUCCUUUAUGCAAAACUAGUGCGUUAAGUAUUUUGAAGGAAGGAGACGCUAACCUCUCAGAUUUUCUGGCA
rnacentral:misc_RNA from 1 species